rnacentral:rRNA from 1 species
AUUGAACGCUGGCGGCAGGCCUAACACAUGCAAGUCGAACGAGUGGCGGACGGGUGAGUAAUGUCUGGGAAACUGCUCGAUGGAGGGGGAUAACUACUGGAAACGGUAGCUAAUACCGCAUACCCUCGGAUGUGCCCAGAUGGGAUUAGAUAGUAGGUGGGGUAAUUGCUCCCCUAGGCGACGAUCCCUAGCUGUUCUGAGAGGAUGACCAUCCACCCUGGAACUGAGACACGGUCCAUACUCCGACGGGAGGCAGCAGUGGGGAAUAUUGCACAAUGGGCGCAAGCCUGAUACAGCCAUGCCGCGUGUAUGAAGAAGGCCUUCGGGUUGUAAAGUACUUUCAGCGAGGAGGCGUUACUCGCAGAAGAAGCACCGGCUAACUCCGUGCCAGCAGCCGCGGUAAUUC